UUCCUUUCUAUCCUUUUGUACUCGCUCCUUUUCCAGCUAUGUUAAUGAAAUUGUUAUUUCUUCCUUUAAAUUUUUCUUUAGCUUUCCUUUUUCUUUUCCUUUCAAGUUUCAUGACGGGAAUCGUUACAAUUGGUAUCAAAGCCAUGAUUCUCGGUUGUUCAUCGAUGUUAAUGGCGGAGUCCGGUAGAAGUGCCAAUCAGUUGGAGCAACAAAUUUAAACUUUUAUGGACAGAUCGAACAGAAGACUAUAACAUAUGGAAGAAUGGUAUCAAAAUUGUAUUGGGACCUUCCAUAGUUCAGCAAAUCAAUAUGACUUUUAAAGGUUGGAGAGUGAAGAGCAGGUUUCCAGUGACCCGCACGCUUAUCAUCAGUAUUCUUGCGCAAACACACAUUUCUAUCAUGAGUCCUUUAUGGAUUCUGCACAAAUUCUUUUGGUGUUACUGUUGUUGAUGCUACUGGAAUUAUAGAGGAUCUAAAUAUGGGAAUAAAAAAAUACAUCAAUUAACCAAGUUCAGACAUAUGCACAAUUCCAGGCGACCAAUUUAUCAGCAUUCAAUAUUGGGAGAAUCUUUAUCCAGGAUGGAAGUUUGAUGCCACUACUGGUCAGUGGCAUUAGUUAGAUAGUUACAAGUACUGAUUCUUCUCCUUCUGGUCAUAUUUCUAAGGAAACAUCGGAGGUUCUUUACUUACAGAAUUCUUACCAAGUUCAAAGGAUGGAAAGGGAGAACCCGUUUCUAUCAAGCCCCAAUUUUUGCAACCACAGACAUGUAUGUUGAAUUGCUCUCAUUGGUUCGAGAAAACAUUCAUAAGAUCGAAGAAAUUGUACACAACAUAGGACAAAUGGAAUCCGGUCAACAAUCCAACAUAAACGCUCAGUUCCAAUGAUAUGCAGCUUCAGUGAUUCCAAAUUACGAAUGCUUGGACAUGAAUUGGAGAAAAGUUGCAUGAAAUGGUAUCUCAGAGCUACAAAAUGGAGCAAUAAAAGAAGAGGUGCAAGGCAACGAAAAUUCAGUGCCAUAGACAAAACCUUGCACAAUAACAACAGUGCCAUAGACAAUGCAAGGCAGUGUCCAGGGCACUGUCAUCAGUGUCAUAGACAGUGCCUUGCGCAGAAAAGACAAUGCUACAGAGAGUGCCUUGCACCUAAACGACAGUGCUACAGGCAGUGCAAGGCGCCAACGAUGUCAUCCGAAAAAAAGUUUCAUUCCUCAUUAAUAUUGGACAUGUAAAUUUGGCCCUUACCCUAUCCUUUUAUUUGUAGUUUAAUGCUUCUAGAUAUUACUAUGAUUAUUUACACAGUUAUGAGUAGCUAAAAUCCCGUCAUCUGGGGUUGAUGGAACCAAUUGUUGGAUGAAGUCUUGAUUGUGUUUUGAUAUAAUUGAGCUGUUAUUACUCUUUAAUUGUUCAACUAUAUGUUACUUGUGAUUAAUUGAAGGGCCCUUGAUUAA